CAGUCGCCGCGGGAAUACGUAGGUGGCAAGCGUUGUCCGGAAUUAUUGGGCGUAAAGGGCUCGCAGGCGGUUUCUUAAGUCUGAUGUGAAAGCCCCCGGCUCAACCGGGGAGGGUCAUUGGAAACUGGGAAACUUGAGUGCAGAAGAGGAGAGUGGAAUUCCACGUGUAGCGGUGAAAUGCGUAGAGAUGUGGAGGAACACCAGUGGCGAAGGCGACUCUCUGGUCUGUAACUGACGCUGAGGAGCGAAAGCGUGGGGAGCGAGCAGGAUUAGAUACCCCCGUAGUCCCUGUCUCUUAUAC
rnacentral:rRNA from 1 species